rnacentral:rRNA from 1 species
UACAGAGGUGCCAAGCGUUGUUCGGAAUUACUGGGCGUAAAGCGUGCGCAGGCGGUUGUGCAAGACAGAUGUGAAAUCCCCGGGCUCAACCUGGGAAUUGCAUUUGUGACUGCACGGCUAGAGUGUGUCAGAGGGGGGUAGAAUUCCACGUGUAGCAGUGAAAUGCGUAGAGAUGUGGAGGAAUACCGAUGGCGAAGGCAGCCCCCUGGGAUAACACUGACGCUCAUGCACGAAAGCGUGGGGAGCAAACAGG